GAUGAAGAACGUAGCGAAAUGCGAUACUUGGUGUGAAUUGCAGAAUCCCGUGAACCAUCGAGUCUUUGAACGCAAGUUGCGCCCGAAGCCACUAGGCCGAGGGCACGCCUGCCUGGGCGUCACACGCCGUUGCCCCCCCAUCUACUCCUUCGGGAUUGCGGGGGGGCGGAUGAUGGCCUCCCGUGCGCCUAGCCGCGCGGUUGGCAUAAAUACCAAGUCCUCGGCGACGCACGCCACGACAAUCGGUGGUUGGGAAACCUCGGUUGCCCGUCGUGUGCGUUCGUCGCGCAUCGAGGGCUCGAAAAAAUGCUCGGCUCCGGCUGGGCUUUCAACGCGACCCCAGGUCAGGCGGGGUUACCCGCUGAAUUUAAGCAUAUCAAUAAGCGGAGGA
rnacentral:misc_RNA from 1 species